CUUCAUUCACAACAUUUAGAGCAUCCAUGGCUUAGAGAAGGUGGAGAAGCAUCUGACAAGCCGAUUGACAGCGUUGUACUCUCAACUCUUAAGGAUGAAGAGCGAUGAAUAAGUUAAAGAAACUUGCUCUAAAGGUUAGACUUCCAAGACACUAUAAUAUGAAAUGUGUUUGUCCUUGUCCUUUUCUGUCUGAAUAGGUCAUUGAGGAGAAUAUUAUAACACGGAAGAGAUCCAAGGAUUGAAGGCAAUGUUUGCUAACAUAGACACAGACAACAGUGGCACAAUCACAUAUGAAGAACUGAAAGAAGGUUUAGCUAAAUUGGGAUCAAAAAUUUACAGAAGCAGAAGUAAAGUAGCUCAUGGAUGCUGUAAGUUGGUUGAAAAAUGAAUUCCAAGCAAGUAAAAAAAUUCACAAGAUCAAGAGAAGAGACGGUUUGUAUCCAAUCCAGAAAAUCAGGAGCUGUAUUGAUGAUAUUUAUUCCGGAGAAACAGUAGAUAAGAACAGGAAGAUACUCAAAAUUUUGAUUGCUUGUGUUUUGUACUUUCUUGUGUUCUGUGACGAGGCUGUUGUUAUAAAGAGAGAAGAAGAAGGUUGCAU